rnacentral:rRNA from 1 species
UACGAAGGGGGCUAGCGUUGUUCGGAAUUACUGGGCGUAAAGCGCACGUAGGCGGACUAUUAAGUCAGGGGUGAAAUCCCGGGGCUCAACCCCGGAACUGCCUUUGAUACUGGUAGUCUCGAGUCCGGAAGAGGUGAGUGGAAUUCCGAGUGUAGAGGUGAAAUUCGUAGAUAUUGGGAAGAACACCGAUGGCGAAGGCAGCCAUCUGGACCGACACUGACGCUGAGGCGCGAAAGCGUGGGGAGCAAACAGG